UGACACCUAAAAGGAAGGAAAUGGUAAAGCAAAGUAAUAACUCAAAGACUGCCAGCGAGAGCUUUUGUCUACCUUUAACUCAUUGUGGAACUUGACAUCAUCAGACAGUAAAUCAAGAGGUACUGACAACUGAGACUGAGUGAUGGUCCCUGCCUAGGAUUUGGAAUCUUUGCAUGAAAUAGGGACUCUAGCCACCAGCGACAAAGAAGUCAGGGAGACUGUUGUCUCUAGGAAGCACUUCCAGGAAACAGGAAUUCAGGCAAAGUUGGACAUUCCAAAGAUGGCGUAGAUGAACAUGACCAGGAAGAGCAGGAGGCCGAUGUUAAAUAACGCAGGAAGGGACAUCAUCAAAGCAAAGAGCAGCGUGCGGAUCCCCUUUGCUCCUUUGACUAGACGUAGGAUUCGGCCAAUCCUGGCAAGACGGAUCACUCGGAACAGG